rnacentral:rRNA from 1 species
AGAGUUUGAUCCUGGCUCAGAAUCAACGCUGGCGGCGCGCCUAACACAUGCAAGUCGAGCGAGAAAGCAGGAGCAAUCUUGUGAGUAAAGCGGCGUACGGGUGAGUAACACGUGGAUCAUCUACCUCUUUGUGGGGGAUAACUCUGGGAAACCGGAGCUAAUACCGCAUAAGUCCGAGAGGAGAAAGCAGCAAUGCGCAGAGAGAGGAGUCCGCGGCCGAUUAGCUAGUUGGUAGGGUAAAAGCCUACCAAGGCUGAGAUCGGUAGCCGGCCUGAGAGGGCACACGGCCACACUGGCACUGAAACACGGGCCAGACUCCUACGGGAGGCAGCAGUGGGGAAUCUUGCACAAUGGGGGCAACCCUGAUGCAGCGACGCCGCGUGAGCGAUGAAGCCCUUCGGGGUGUAAAGCUCUUUCGGCAGGGAAGAUUAUGACGGUACCUGCAGAAGCAGCUGCGGCUAACUACGUGCCAGCAGCCGCGGUAAUACGUAGGCAGCAAGCGUUGUUCGGAGUUACUGGGCGUAAAGGGUGUGUAGGCGGUUCCCUAAGUUUGGUGUGAAAUCUCCCGGCUCAACUGGGAGGGUGCGCCGAAAACUGGGGGGCUAGAGUACUGGAUGGGAGAGUGGAAUUCCUGGUGUAGCGGUGAAAUGCGUAGAUAUCAGGAGGAACACCUGUGGUGUAGACGGCUCUCUGGACAGUAACUGACGCUGAGACACGAAAGCGUGGGUAGCAAACAGGAUUAGAUACCCUAGUAGUCC